rnacentral:lncRNA from 10 species
UGACAGGUUGCCAUAGCCAUUGGAGAUCACACCAUGACUUGCUUCCCGACCACCUGGAUUUUAUGUGAAGUCACAUGUUCUUAGAAAAACAGACUUUUAAGACACUCUUCUGCGAUCUGACAUUUUCAAGAGACAAAUUGUUAUACAUGUUAUUUCCCAUGUCCACAACUCCCUGCAAGGUAAAUACUUGAGAAUUUGGCAGUCACGUUUUUUCCAAAUGGACAGAAAACAUACAAUUGCUGAUGGAUUGGUUUGAAUGCAAGAAGCAGCCAGCAACUGCCAUUCAUGAGGAUCGUAUACAGCCAUGUAGGACGCGCCUGCUUCCCCUUUGCCUUCUGCCAUGAUUGUAAGUUUCCUGAGGCCUCCCCAGCCAUGCCUUCUGUACAGCCUGCAGAACUGUG